GCGGCCGCCUCCCGGACUUCAUCGCCAAGCUGACCAACAAUACGCACCAGCAUGUCUUUGAUGACCUCAGUGGCUCAGUGUCCUUGUCCUGGGUUGGAGACAGCACUGGGGUUAUUCUCGUCCUGACUACUUUCCAAGUGCCACUGGUAAUUGUGAGUUUUGGACAGUCCAAGUUAUAUCGCAGGUGAGACAGACGACACAUCUCAGGGACAUUUGACGAGGCCACACAGGGGUGGAGGGUCUACCCUUUCUGGUCACAGUAGUUCAACAGUUAAUUUCCAUUUUAAGAUCACAGCAGGCUAUGGCACUCAGCCCGCUUCUGGAUGACAAUUUAGUAACUGUAGAAAACUGAGAAGGGGGCUGGGGAGAUGGCUCAGUGGGUAAGGGCACUGACUGCUCUUCCUGAGGUCCUGAGUUCAAAUCCCAGCAACCACAUGGUGGCUCACAACCAUCUGUAAUGGGAUCCGAUGCCCUCUCUGGUGUGUCUGAAGACAGCUAUGGUGUACUUAUAUAUAAUAAGAAAACCUU
rnacentral:lncRNA from 1 species